UAGGGAAUUUUCGUCAAUGGGCGCAAGCCUGAACGAGCAAUGCCGCGUGAACGAGGAAGGUCUUCGGAUCGUAAAGUUCUGUUGAAGGGGAAAAAGAGCGGAGAGAGGAAAUGCUUUCUGAUUGAUAUUACCCUUCGAGGAAGUCACGGCUAACUACGUGCCAGCAACCGCGGUAAUCAUACUCU
rnacentral:rRNA from 1 species